UAUACUAAUAUCUCUGGAGACCACAAGGGAAUAUGCAGAAGGGCACCGGAAAGGUUACAAAUUAUUCUUCUUGUGUCGCGGGUCAAUCUUCACAUUCUAUAUGUUCUAUUUGAGCACAAGCACAAGGGGCACGUACAAACUUCAUUUUCAUUAACCUUAACGUAACCGAGUCUCAUCGUGAUGGGGUUCUGCGGGGCAGCACAAAGAUUCGUUGCGAGUCACGGCAUGUUUGCGUGAAACGAAAGGACACAACAAGAAUUCGUUCGCCCUCCCCCCCGACCCACACGUUCUUUAAGUUGUACAAGGUAACCGUAGGGGAACCUGCGGCUGGAUCACCUCCUUAAUUGAAGAUCCCGGCUUCUUCAUAAGCUCCCACCCGAAUUGCUUGAUUCACUGGUUAGACGAUUGGGUCUGUAGCUCAGUUGGUUAGAGCGCACCCCUGAUAAGGGUGAGGUCGGCAGUUCGAAUCUGCCCAGACCCCCCAAUUGUUGGUGUGCUGCGUGAUCCGAUACGGGGCCAUAGCUCAGCUGGGAGAGCGCCUGCUUUGCACGCAGGAGGUCAGGAGUUCGAUCCUCCUUGGCUCCACCAUCUAAAACAAUCGUCGAAAGCUCAGAAAUGAAUGUUCGUGAAUGAACAUUGAUUUCUGGUCUUUGCACCAGAACUGUUCUUUAAAAAUUCGGGUAUGUGAUAGAAGUAAGACUGAAUGAUCUCUUUCACUGGUGAUCAUUCAAGUCAAGGUAAAAUUUGCGAGUUCAAGCGCGAAUUUUCGGCGAAUGUCGUCUUCACAGUAUAACCAGAUGCUGGGUAUAGACG
rnacentral:misc_RNA from 1 species